rnacentral:lncRNA from 1 species
AAAAACCAUGGAUGCCAGUAGAACCUGGAAACCCUACAUGGAGCAUAGUGUUAUGUGGAAAGGCUUUUGGAGCUCAUCCCAUUAGGAAGAAAGGAACCUCAAGUCUAAAAGCUCAAUCUUAUGGAGAGUUGAGUGGAGUGGCAAAGUAAUUACAUGGUGGAAGAGCCAAGUCAUAACUGGAUGAGGACAAUCAAUCUGAAGUCUCAGACCAGCCUGCAAAAUCCAACAAGUUCUUGUUAAUAACAAAGAUAAUUAACAACUACAGAGCUUACUGAUGCACA